GGUGGGGGGGUCUUAAUCCUUGCCAAGUCGAACGAUGUCUUAGGAGAUAGUGGCACGACGGGUGUAGUAACGCGUGAGACUCUACCUUCCUGUGUGGUAACAACCAUUGGAAACGGGGGCUAUACCGAAUGUGCCGAUAGGUGAAGAGCUUGCUGCCUGAAAAAGAGCUUGCUUCUGAUUAGUUAUUAGGGGGGGUAAGAGCCUACCUAGGCAACAAUCAUUACUUGGUCUAAAAGAAUGAUCACCCCCUCUGGAACUGAAACACGGCCCAAACUCCUACGGGAGGCAGCAGUGGGGAAUUUUCCGCAUGGGGCGAAAGCCUGACGGAGCAUUACCGCGGGAUGGAGGAAGGCUCUUGGGUUGUAAACCUCUUUUCUCAGGAAAAAAAAACUGACGGUACCUGAAGAAUAACCAUCUGCUAUCUCCGUGCCAGCAGCCGCGGUAAUACGGAGGAUGCAAGCGUUAUCCGGAAUGAUUGGUCGUAAAGGGUCCGCAGGUGGUAUUGUAAGUCUGCUGUUAAAGAGUCACGCUCAACGUGAUAAGAGCAUUGGAAACUACACAACUAGAGUACGGAUAGAGGGCAGGAAAGGAAUUCCUGGGUAUAGCGGAUGAAAUGCGUAGAUAUUCAGGAAGAACACCGGUGGCGAAAAGCGUUCUGCUAGACCUGUAAUGACAAUCUGAGGGAAGAAAGCUAGGGGGAGCAAAUGGGAUUAUAUACCCCAAGUACUCCCUAGCCGUAAAACGAUGGAUACUACGUGUGGCUUAUAUCGACUCCGAGGCGGUACCGUAGCUAACGCGUUAAGUCAUCCCGGCCUGGGUGAGUACGGCACGCAAGUUGAUGACAACUCAAAGUGAAUUGACGGGGGCGGCCCGACACAAGCGGGGUGGAGUAGUGUGGUAUUUUAAUUUCGAUGCAGACGGCAGAAGAACUCUUUAUCCCAAUGGCUUUGACCAUGGUCGGCGGAAUCCUUUAAGUGACAAAUUGAGAUGCGCCUUCGGGAGCGCGAACACAGGUGGUGCAUGGCUGUCGUCAGCUCGUGUCGUGAGAUGUUGGGUUAAGUCCCGCAACGAGCGCAACCCUCGUUUUUAGUUGCCAGCAUUAGGUUGGGCACUCUAGAGAGACUGCCGGUGACAAACCGGAGGAAGGUGGGGAUGACGUCAAGUCAGCAUGCCCCUUACGCGUUGGGUUACACACGUAUUACAAUGCUCCGGACAAAGGGCAGGUACACAGGGAUGUGAGGCAAAUCUCAUAAACCGGAGCUCAGUUCAGAUCGAAGGCUGCAACUCGCGUUCGUGAAGGAGGAAUCGCUAGUAAUUGCAGGUCAGCAUACUGCAGUGAAUUCGUUCCCGGGCCUUGUACACACCGCCCGUCACACCAUGGAAGUUGGUCACGCCCGAAGUCAGUACCCCAACCCUAUGGGAGGGCGGGCAGACCCCCAUC
rnacentral:rRNA from 1 species